UGUGGGCGGGAUGUGGUUGGCCAGUGUCCGCGGCUCAGUCUUGGAAGGCCGAGGAGAGACAACCUGGGCCCGCCCAAUCUGAUGAGAGCUUGUAGUCUGUGAAUCUUUCUAGGAUCCGACUGCCUGCAUCUUUCUCCUGCGGAGUGGCUGCUGGGUUCAAAUGCCUCACCCACUGCGCCACCAGGGCUCCUCAAGUUCACAGACUUGGAAGCUCCGCAGAGCACUUCUCUGCCCUGUAAGGGUCCCUGGGUGUCGGAAUCGAGUCCAAGGGUUUGGGAGUCCAACCUCUCAUCGUUCAUCCUACGUGUAUGGAAGGAACACCUACUACACGUCCCCCACCCCCAACCUGGUCAGGCCCACUCAUGGCUCGCUUUCGGGCCCAAUUCUUGGCGUCGGGACAGGAUGGGAGCAGCGGUGUCAGAGUGUGUGGGCCCACGCUGGGAUUCUGACUGGUUCUGGGCCUGGAGGCAUUGAAGGAGAUGGAGUGGACCAAGAAGGCAGCUUCUCCCAGCGUCAGGAGAACCAAGUUCCUUUUGGAAGGAUGCUGCAACGCUUCCACAAAUGUCCACAGAAAAGAUUCCAUCCGCCUUCCCCUUCCCCUAGAGGGACCUAACAGAAUAGCUGCAAGUGGGAGACCCUCCCCAGACUCCACCACCGGCUGACCCUGACCUAGUCUGACGCCGGAAGCAACCUUCACUCUUCUUGCCCGCCGCCCGCGGAGCCCGAGGAACACAGCCUCAGGGCUGGCGCCUAUCCGCGGCGCCGCCUGUUCCGUCUGCGCGGCGCGAAUGUCCAGGUCUGGCUCCGAGCAGCGACCGGUGCCUGCGCCAGCCUGAUCAGCACCCCAAGGAGGAACAGCUCCUGCCGCUCAGAUCAGCACCGGACGACGGACAGCUCCCCACUCGGCGCGCGAGUCGCCCCACACCAGGGCCUCCAGCAAGUCCUCCGGUCGCCUGGGGAUCAGCGCUGCCUCGGGGGCCGCACCCUCGCCCUCACCGGGCCCCCUUUCAAAGAAAGCCUGCGGACCCAGGCCCCUACCUCGCUCCUGUUUUCCACCGCAGGGA